CGGUUCCCUGGGCCGGCACUACGCGGCCCGCGGCUCACACCAGCGGGAUUCGAACCGCGGCCUGCCGUAGAUUAACUCGGGACCAGGCCGGGCGCGGUGGCUCACGCCUGUAAUCCCAGCACUUUGGGAGGCCAGGGCAGGUAGAGCACCUGAGGUCAGGAGUUCGAGAGCAGCCUGGCCUACAUGGCGAAACCCCUUCUCUACUAAAAAUACAAAAAUUAGCUGGGCUUGGUGACAGGCGCCUGUAAUCCCAGCUACUCGGGAGGCCGAGGCACAAGAAUCGCUUGAACUCAGGAGGCGGAGGUUGCAGUGAGCCGAGAUCCACCACUGCACUCCAGCCUGGGCGACACAGCGAGACUCCGUCUCAAAAAAAAAAAAAAAAAAAAAAGAAAUAGAAAAAGUCGGGAACCUGGCAAGCUGCCUAACUGCUCUGUGCGUCGGUGUCCUCACCUGUGAUGCGGGGACAAAGCUGAAGAAGCCAGCAACCUGAAAACACCAAUGGGCACAGACAGAAGAACCUGCUCGCUCCAGCCAGAGACGUAUGAGGACUUGUAGGUAAGAGGAUUGUUUCUAGUCCUGGCUCUGCCAUUAACAAAUGGUAACUUGGUAGAUAACUGUUUCUCCAGCUCUCCGUGGUCAGCCAGCAUUAUGAUUGAAAGUUGGGAAAGGAAAGGAGUUGUGUUUUAAGCAAAUUUUAAGAGUUUACUUUUUUAUUGCUUAAUAUAGAAAUAACUGCAUAUUGUAGAACAUUUGAAAUGAAA
rnacentral:lncRNA from 1 species